rnacentral:rRNA from 1 species
AGUGAACGCUGGCGGUAGGCCUAACACAUGCAAGUCGAACGGCAGCACAGGAGAGCUUGCUCUCUGGGUGGCGAGUGGCGGACGGGUGAGGAAUACAUCGGAAUCUACUCUGUCGUGGGGGAUAACGUAGGGAAGCUUACGCUAAUACCGCAUACGACCUACGGGUGAAAGCAGGGGACCUUCGGGCCUUGCGCGAUUGAAUGAGCCGAUGUCGGAUUAGCUAGUUGGCGGGGUAAAGGCCCACCAAGGCGACGAUCCGUAGCUGGUCUGAGAGGAUGAGCAGCCACACGGGAACUGAGACACGGUCCAGACUCCUACGGGAGGCAGCAGUGGGGAAUAUUGGACAAUGGGCGCAAGCCUGAUCCAGCCAUACCGCGUGGGUGAAGAAGGCCUUCGGGUUGUUAAGCCCUUUUGUUGGGAAAGAAAUCCAGCUGGCUAAUACCCGGUUGGGAUGACGGUACCCAAAGAAUAAGCACCGGCUAACUUCGUGCCAGCCGCCGCUGUAA